GCCCAGAGGAGAGAGAGAGUGCGCCAGGAGAAAACCUGUCACUGAGGAGGCGUCCCAGGGCCCACCCUUUAGUUUUCAGCUCGUUGCACUUCUAUCUGCUCCGUGCUGUCCCACCCUUAGGAUUUAGAGUUGGCCUUCUUCUCAUCGUUGUGGCCAUAUAGUGCCCGGCCCCCUGCAGCUUCCUCUCUGUCUGCUCCCUCGCCCCACUCCCAGGCCCAUCCAGGCUGCGGUGCUGUGUCCCGCCGGCUGAUGGCGAGCCAGAGUGAGUACAGUUUCCCGGAGAGCGACGAGUGGGUCAACGCUUUCUCCAGUGUGAGCAGACAGAAGCCCUCGUUAAGGGCCUGGAGACGGACGGAGUUUAAAGAAAUGCACACAGAUAUAAACGCAGCCACAGAAUGCAUGCGUGAGUGGACCAAGCUCAUCAAUCAACACAGCUCACACUGGCCAGAAGGAGAGGAGAUCCCCGCCUCGAGCAGACAGUUCGCAGAGAUCCGGCCUCCGAGUGCCAGCGCCUGCACUCUUUGCUCCAGGCUUCCACUGGCCACCAGAGCCUGCUGACCAAAGUACCAGGGAACGAAUGCCGCCAGGAGCAGCCUCAGCCAGCGACUGAUGGGAGUGGGUGUAUAGAUGGCCCAGCUCCCCUGCUCCUGUGAUGGGCCAGCGCUGGGGCACGAGUGCCACAUCACUUUCCUUAGCUCCCCAGUGUGUGAAGUUCCAGUUAUCCACAAGUGGUAACCAUGGUAACCAGCUCACUAACACAUCCUUCACUGGCUUCUUCCCUGCUCACUUCCCCCCCCGUCCCAGUGUACCCUGCACCCCUCAAAUAAACUACUUGCACUAUAAACCCUUGUCUCUGAAUCUCCUUCUAGCAGAUCCCAAACUAGGAAACCCCCAAAAGAUGAAGAACGCUCACAGGAGGUCAGGAAGGGAGGCUCCCGUCAUGGUUCUGCACCAACUUGCCCACAACCUUAGGCCAGUUACAGCUCCUCCCUGAGCCUCAGUUUCCCCAUCUGCAAGGAAAAGAAAGCUAAGGCAUCUCUACUGCUUCCUUUAAAUGCUCAAAAGGGUAAGUGACCCCAUAAGAGUUAAGAACACCUGUCCUGAACUGUGUGUUCUACGAUGGUUAAUUUUAUGUGUCAACUUGGCUAGGCCAUGGUGCCCAGAUAUUUGGCUAAACACCAGCCUGGCUGUUGCUGUGAAGGCAUUUUUAGAAGAGAUUAACAUUUAAAUCAGUAGACUUUGAGUAAAGCAGAUCACCCUCCAUACUGUGGGUGGGCCUCAUUCAAUCAGUUGAAGGCCCUAGGAGAAAAAGACCGACCUCCUCCAAGGAAGAGGGAAUUCCUUCAGCAGACUGCCUUCGGGCUCAAGCUGCAGCAUCAACUCUUCCCUGGGUCUCUCACCUGCCUGCCCUGCAGAUUUGGGACUCACCAGCCUCUGCAAGCGGGUGAGCCAAUUCUCUAAAAUCUCACAAUAGAUAGAUAUACAUCCUAUUGCUUCUGUUUCUUUGACUUUUGUUUCAUGAUCCUUGAGGACAAGGACCCUUCCAUCUUUUGUGUCCCCAAUGCCUGGCACACUGCCUGGUACAGAGGGGUGCUCAGCAGAUGUCUGUUGAAUGAAUCUAAAUCAGAAGACAGGAGAGUCUGGGGUCUUUUAUCUCCCCCUCCGUUGGCCAGUAAAGCCUGCGGUUAAGGCUUUGCAGUCAGCUCGACCUGGGUUCAAGUCCUAACUUCUUUAAGUACCAGUUGUGAGAUCUUGUUCUGGUCAUUCGGCCUCUCUGAGCCUCAGUUUCCUUGCCUACAAGACGGAGUGAUAAUCCCUUCCUUGUGGGGUUGAUGUGAGGAUCACAUGAGGUCAUGUCAACAGCCCAGCCUGGAGUCUGCCCAGAGCUCAAUAUCCCCUAGUCAGUGUUAUUGGUUGGGAACACAGACAACAGGACUGGAACAUUCUCUUUACAAAGGUACUUAAGGAAGCACUGUUGGGAUAGCACACUUGAAAUCAGAACAUCCUAGAAAAAUUGAGGCCUGGAUUCUUAAGACCUGGGAACAGGGCCUGGCACACAACGAGUUCUCAGUAAAUGGAAUGGAAGGAUAGUGCACAAAUAGUUUGUUGCAGAUAUUAGAGCCCUGAUUGAUGAAAAGCAGGAUAAGAACACUAUAAAGAGAGGAUGUGGGGCAUCCUCAUGACUCAUCAUGUUCAUGCUAAACCCACAGGGCCCUUGAGUGGCAGCUAAAGAAGCCUGGGCAACCCUCCCUAGUAAUGAUGGAUGCAUAAUGACGUCUGGAGCACUGGGAAGAAGAGCCAGAUGCCACGCCGACGUGCUCUGCUAAGACCUCUGCAACAGCCUUACCCAACCCUGCCUCGCUGCUUCCUGGCUGGGUGUGAAUCCCCGAACCAACAAAUCCCGGAAAAGAUCAUCACCCAAGCCUGGCUGGGGAGAAUGUGAGGCGUCAGUGUUAUUUUAAACCCAAGCUAGGAUCAGGUUUGUAUGACAAUGUUAUUUUAACGUAGCUCCAGGUCCAAACUUCCAAGUUGCUGCUGGAGAUAUGCACUCAGAGUCUAACCAGAAAAAGCAGAGUGAUGAAUUUGCGAGCUCACCAGCUGCCUGCAGGGCCCCAGCUCCUGGCUCUGGCCCUUUCCCUCCCUGACAUCCCUCCUGAUCAAAAUUACUCUAAAACAACAACAACGUCAGCAACUGGAUGGCAAACAUCUGGAACAUUUAUCAAUCUCAUUAGGAACAAAUAAGCACAAAAUACCACUAUCAAAAUAGCAGAAACAAAAACAAAAACAAAAGCUGCUGGGAAGGCCAGGGCAAAGUGAGCAGACUUGUGGAUUGCUUGUAUAGACACGAUUUGAUAAUCCUUUGAAAAGCAGUAUCAAAUAUUAGGAAUUCUACCUCUAGGAAAAUAAACAAGGAAGUAAUACUACACAGAGACAAAUGUUUAUUUAGGAUUCUGUUAUAGGGAAGCAGAACUUGCCAUCUCUAGAUGUGUCUCUUUGGCAUGAGGAUUAUUUUGGGUUGGUUAUUUUUUAAAAAACUACAGACAUGGGAGAAGCUCUGAAAACCAAGUAGAAGUUACCCUCUGUAAGAGAUAUUUCCAUUUGUAAGGGAAAUCUCCAUUUGUAAAGGUGUCUCCCUCUCUGCACCAGGAAGAGGGGGAUGACCUUAUCUCUAGAAACUCAUCAAUGUGGAAAGCAAGGACUUAAAUAGGCAUAAUAACCUUGCUCUUGUUUACUGUGCUUUUCUGGUAAUUUCCAAUAACUGACCCCCCUCACCCCCAACAUCUUCCUUUGUCUUUAGCUGAAGAUGGUUUUUAAGGUGGCAACCUAGGCCAUUCUGAUGAGUUACUCAGCUUUUCUGGGUUUCUCCCAUAUAUACAUGCUAUUAAACUUUGUUUGAUUUUCUCCUGUUAAUCUGUCUCAUGUCAAUUUAGUUCUUAGACCAACCAGAAGGACCUAGAGGGUAGAGGAAUUGUCUUCCUCCCCUACACUAAUAUAAAAGACAGUUCAUAAUUGCUUACUUCUGAAUUUUCAAUAAAAAUUAAGGUUUGUAAGGGUUAAGAAUUCUAAUUAAUAUAUGUGAUUAAAGCUACUAAAAAUUAGUAAGGAAAACAUCUUUGUAGUCAAGGAAAGUAAGAUGUAUGUUUUCAGUAAAGAAGGUAUAAGUAAAGUAAAUAUUUUUGUUUGUUUUGAUAAGAAAGAUAAAUUUGUCCUAAAGUAGGAGGAAAAAAAAAAAAAGAAGACUCAGGACAAAUUCUGAAUGUAAAAACAAGUUAUAGAAGUUUUGUGAAAAGGGAACGUUGAGAAAAGAGUUUUAUGCGUGGUCAAGCUGGCUAAGAUUGGAAUAAGUUUAAUUAAGUAAAUGAGUUUUAAUAUCAAAAGUAAGCUGGUGCAAAAUUAGAAUUUGGUUUUCCCUUUCUUAAAAGGAUAAUCUUCCUGGACUUUUAGUCAGCUCUUGGUAAUGAGAUUAUAACAGAUUUUUCUUUACCUUUGAGUAAAUCUACCUAAAAGACAGAAAUUCUAUGGUUUAUCAAAAUAAUUUCCUAUGUUCUAAAAGAUUGAAAUCCCUCUAUUAAAAGAACUAAGGUUUUUUUUUAACUGUUUGUCUUUAACAUCUGUUGUCACUUUGGUUAAAUGGAUAACUAAGCAUUAUUUCACAGUGACCAGUGUUUCAGAGUGACACAAGAUCAGCAAGCACCUGAUCUUGUUUGACUAAGUGUUUUAAAUAAACCUUUUGAUAUUUUUGACAAGCUUCCCCAAAGAGUCAGAUCCCAAAUGAAGUCUUUCUUUUGACUUGGAAAAAAACAAUUUUUUUCUUAGAGAAUUUUCAGAGGGCCCUUGGGACUUCUCAAAGAAAUUUGUUCUCCCUAUAAAGAGGGAGAUACUGAAUUAAUUAGGCUUGUUUGGUAUGCCAAAUUGCAUGGGAAGCAUUGUCAAGCAAAUGAUGAUAAACCUUCUUAGGUUAUAUUGCACAGGUAAAUAUUAUACACUAUUUUAACCUUGCUACCUUGAUUCUAACACCACCAGAGGAAAAGACUACUACUGCAUUCUAUUAUCUAAUUUGGUUUACAGAUGGGUCUUACUUAAACGAUAAGCAAGGAUGUUAUCAAGCUGGAUAUGCUGUUCAGCCUUGAGAAUGCCCAUUACUUUCUAUUAACCCUGCUAACCCACUGAAAGAUUUCCUUCUACAGCCUCAAGAAAUUGCCAUGGAAGAAGAGAAACAAAGGUGGCAACAAAAAGGGAGAAUUUUUGAUACCGCCACACAGACGUGGUUCCAGCCUGAUACCCAACCAUAGUGCCCAUUGGCGCACCAUUGCCACUGCUCCAGCAUAUAUAUCAAUUGCCCACUGGGAACCUGAAAAGAUGAUUUUCUGGGGAAACCAAUAUUUUUGGAAACUUUCUCUCACAGUGACUUAUAAAGCAUAUGCUCGUUACACUAUAUGUCCUAAACAUAAC